UAGGGAAUUUUCCACAAUGGACGAAAGUCUGAUGGAGCAACGCCGCGUGAACGAUGAAGGUCUUCGGAUUGUAAAGUUCUGUUGUCAGGGACGAACACGUACCGUUCGAAUAGGGCGGUACCUUGACGGUACCUGACGAGAAAGCCACGGCUAACUACGUGCCAGCAGCCGCGGUAAUACGUAGGUGGCAAGCGUUGUCCGGAUUUAUUGGGCGUAAAGCGCGCGCAGGCGGCUAUGUAAGUCUGGUGUUAAAGCCCGGAGCUCAACUCCGGUUCGCAUCGGAAACUGUGUAGCUUGAGUGCAGAAGAGGAAAGCGGUAUUCCACGUGUAGCGGUGAAAUGCGUAGAGAUGUGGAGGAACACCAGUGGCGAAGGCGGCUUUCUGGUCUGUAACUGACGCUGAGGCGCGAAAGCGUGGGGAGCAAACA
rnacentral:rRNA from 1 species